rnacentral:rRNA from 1 species
CCUACGGGUGGCAGCAGUGGGGAAUAUUGCACAAUGGGGGAAACCCUGAUGCAGCGACGCCGCGUGAGUGAAGAAGUAUUUCGGUACGUAAAGCUCUAUCAGCAGGGAAGAAAAUGACGGUACCUGACUAAGAAGCCCCGGCUAACUACGUGCCAGCAGCCGCGGUAAUACGUAGGGGGCAAGCGUUAUCCGGAUUUACUGGGUGUAAAGGGAGCGUAGGCGGUUGUACAAGUUAGAAGUGAAAUACCCAGGGCUUAACUCGGGUGCUGCUUCUAAAACUGUAUGACUUGAGUGCAGUAGAGGUUAGUGGAAUUCCUAGUGUAGCGGUGGAAUGCUUAGAUAUCACGAAGAACUCCGAUUGCGAAGGCAGCUCACUGGACUGCAACUGACACUGAGGCUCGAAAGUGUGGGUAUCAAACAGGAUUAGAUACCCGGGUAGUC